rnacentral:lncRNA from 1 species
CUAUUAUCAAGCCUUUAGGUUUUCCUUUCAAAAAUUUUGAUCCUCUUAGGAUUAAAAUUGUUUAUUUUUUUCCUAUCAUGGACAAAGCAGAAAACAAGAAAAAUAUGAUGUCAUAUUGCCUAUAAUAACAAAAAACAAAUAUUAUGGUUAAUUUCCUCCAUUUAAAAAAAUCAUCUGGCCUCUCCCUUUUUAAUAUGAUCUCUCUUAACUCCUCAUUCCUUCAGUAUUUACUUUACAAUUAAAUAAAUUACAUUCCCAAAUGUCAUGCACACAAGAUUGGCCUGCUUUGUAAAUAACUUCUUCUCUACACAAGCAUUUUAAAAAAAACCACAGCUGAACAUGAUUUUAAAUCAGUGAUUCUCUAUCAGGGGCAUUUGGCAAUGUCUGGGGACAUUUUAUAGCUGUCACAACUUGGGGGAAGGGGAGUGUCACUGGCAUCUGGUGGACAGAGGUUAGGGAUGCUGGUAAACCUACUAUAAUGCACAGGGCAACCUCAUAACAGAGAAUCAUUGGUCUAAAAUGUCAACAGUGCUGAGGCUGAGGAACAAAUAUAAAUUAAAUACAAAUUAAACACAAGUAUUUUAAAUUAUAUAUAUUAUUUUAAUGAUAUGGAAAACUCAGUGAGAGAUCCAAAAUUUAUGCUUGCCAGAGGGCUGGUUUCUUUAAGUAUUAGAAAAAAAAGUAAAAAUAUUGUACAGAAAUGGACCCACAGAAGUGGGUCAACAAUUUACACUAUUAAUAUAAAAAGUUACUAGUGGCUUCAUGUUUCACUCUAGUGAAAUGAGGAUUUCAAGUCCAUACUUGCUAGCGAAGUUUGUCAACAUUCUCUCUUGUUCCAGUCAGUAUACCUUCUAUUUUCAACAUGGUACCAUUUUUCCCAGGUAUUCAUUUGUUUGCAAUUCUUUUACUUCACAGUCUUGAUGCCCCUUACCAACUCAGUGACUGUCCUGAGUUUAGAACCUCUCACUGGUUCAUCUGUCAUUCAUCAAUCUCCUGACCAUAUACAAUUUGUAAAGUUUUCCAUCAGAAUUCAAUGCUUUAGGUGACUCCUCUAUAGUGGAUGGUAUAGUAUGCCACCCAUACCCACCUUUCAAAUUCCAUGAGCUUCUAGGAGUAAUGGCUACUGAUGAUUCUUAGCUGCAUCACCAUGUGGGAAUUGAUUUUGCUGGGGACAGCCUGUAUGGAAUGAAUAAUAAAUUAGAAAUCUCAAAAGUUCAACCCAUUUGCAAUAAUUUGGGACAAUCCUUGAAGGCUCUUUCUAGUUCUAGAUUCCAUGUGAGAUUGGAGUUGAUUAAUACCUUUAUUAUAAUUUAUCAUAAUUCAACUUAUCCUUUUGCCCUGUACUGGCACCCUCACUUCCUUACAUGUUAGAGCAUCCCUGAUAAAAUUAUUGCUUAUAAAUCUCAAUCUCAGUAUAUUUCCAGAAAAAUGACCUAAAAUGAUGAUACGCUAAAAUGGGACUUGGGAACUGGGUCAUUCUUUGGUUUAUUGGCAUUGAAAACCCCACCACUCAAGGUAAUUGGAAUAUUGAUAUCUCUUGACAUGUAGUGGGAUAAAUUGUUAAAAUUUCCUUUGGUUGUGAACAGGUGUUCAACAACAGCUGAAAAGAAGGUCAUGGUUAGUGCAGUACCUCAGGUAUUUGAGAGUAACAGAUAAAGUAUUCAUUAUAGGGUUUUGAAGUUGGAGGAAAUUUGCUAAAUGCAUCAGAUAAAGAUAAUAACAGGCUGAAGAUGAUUAUUUGCAAUGUAAAACUGUGAAUGUCAAAGUAGUACCUUGAUAACAUAUAAAGAUGUAGUCAUUACUAGCAGCUGGAUGGUAGAAGCAGCCAAGCAUUAGGCCCAGCACUUACUAAAAUGGAUUUGUAGAGAAGAUAAAAUUCUCAAUCUCCACAUAUCAGCUACACCAAGACUAGAGCACUAAUUUGAAAAGAGUGUGACUUUGAAACUUGAAAUAAUAACAUCUGGAUUGGUACAUUCAAGAAUUUUCAAAUGCCAGGUACUCCUAAACAUUUUGGACCUGCAGAAGUGGCUUCCUAUUGCUAUUAAAAAUCUAGCUUUUCUUUCUUAAUAAAGAAAAUGCAGACAACUUUGCUUUGUAUUCAGACAACUUUGCUUUGUAUUCCAACACAAGCUUUUUUCAGGAUCAACCUCCACUUUUCCUGACCAAAAGACCAAUAAUAAUAUAGCCUCCAGGGAAAACCUGGGAGCUGCAGGUUCUAGCCAACAUGUACUGACAACAGACUAGAGACUAUAAGAGAAUAUAUACAGGAUAUUGAGGAUGAUGGUAAGGAGGAUGGCAUAACUAGUUGGAUUAGAGAGUUUAUCCAUAUAACGGCAUUCUUCAAUGUCAUAACAUUUACUGUCCUGACAUGGGCUCUUGGAGAUGAUACUAAUAUGUUACCAGGAUGUCUCUUGGGAGAUUGAAUGGAGCAAUGGUCCACAUUAAAGCAAAGUACAAAUGCUGGCUGCCACAGCAAACAGUCAAGGAAGAACAUAAAAGAUUCAUCAGAGAAUUGGGAAUGCUAACAUGGAUAUAUCAUAAAAGGCCAGAAACUCACCAGCUAACUGACUAAGGGAAAGAUCAGACCCCAAAUGAGGAAUGACUCUGCUAUACCACGGACUGUGCAAGUCUAUGUAGUAACGAUCUUUCCAUUCUUCCUCAAAGGGAUCUAUGACCAUUUUCUUAGAAAACUAUGUGUUUGGGAAAGGGGAUUACUCAAACAUUUAAAGCAUGCUUGAACAUAAGAUCUAAGUUGACUUUAAUGCUUAAGGACCUGAAGCAUCACUGUGGCUUCCAUGUUAGAGUAGAGGCAUAUAUGGGCCAGGCGAUGAACCCAAGACAAGCUUGCAAUGGCCUGCUUUGUCCAUAGACCCACUCUAUGCUCAUAUUCCUGGUCUUUGGAUUUACAAUUGAAAUUGAUACACCUGCUUGGCCUAUUGGGUAAGAGCUGUCACAGUGAGAAAGGCACAGUGGAAGCCUCUAAAACUGCCACCAAUAUUUAACAAACAUAUUAAAAAAUAUUGUAUCUUUAGUGCAGUUAAAACUUAAUACUACUUUUAAUGACCUAAAAGAUACAGGAGUGGUACUCCCCAUUACACCACUAUUUAACUCAAGUAUAUCUCCUU